rnacentral:tRNA from 1 species
UGCCCGGUAGUCUAACGGUAGGACGCUCGGUUGAAAGUCGGUGAGGUCCGGGUCCGAAUCCCGGUCGGGCAA